rnacentral:rRNA from 1 species
UACGAAGGGUGCAAACGUUGCUCGGAAUUAUUGGGCGUAAAGCGCACGUAGGCGGCUUGGCAAGUCGGAUGUGAAAUCCCUCGGCUCAACCAAGGAAGUGCAUCCGAAACUGCUGAGCUUGAGUACUUAAGAGGAUCGCGGAAUUCCCGGUGUAGAGGUGAAAUUCGUAGAUAUCGGGAGGAACACCAGUGGCGAAGGCGGCGAUCUGGGGAAGAUACUGACGCUGAGGUGCGAAAGCGUGGGGAGCAAACGGG